UACGUAGGGGGCAAGCGUUGUCCGGAUUUAUUGGGCGUAAAGAGCGUGUAGGCGGCCAGGUAGGUCAGCUGUGAAAACUCGAGGCUCAACCUCGAGACGCCGGUUGAAACCAUCUGGCUAGAGUCCGGAAGAGGAGAGUGGAAUUCCUGGUGUAACGGUGAAAUGCGCAGAUAUCAGGAAGAACACCCGUGGCUAAGGCGGCUCUCUAGUACGGUACUGACGCUGAAACGCGAAAGCGUGGGGAGCGAACAGG
rnacentral:rRNA from 1 species